UACGGGGGGAGCAAGCGUUGUUCGGAUUUACUGGGCGUAAAGGGCGCGUAGGCGGCCAGUGCAAGUCAGUUGUGAAAUCUCCGAGCUUAACUCGGAAAGGUCAACUGAUACUGCUCGGCUAGAGUGCAGAAGGGGCAAUCGGAAUUCUUGGUGUAGCGGUGAAAUGCGUAGAUAUCAAGAGGAACACCUGAGGUGAAGACGGGUGGCUGGGCUGACACUGACGCUGAGGCGCGAAAGCCAGGGGAGCAAACGGG
rnacentral:rRNA from 1 species